GGGUCGGGGGGGUCACGACCCCCCAUGUCAUUCCUGAGGUCAAAUGGGCCUUCUGUGGUAAAAAUGUGACUGGGAUUUCUUUGCCCACAAAAUUUAUCCCUGAGACCCCCCUUCAAAAAAAAACCUGGAUCCGCCCUUGCCUGCCGUUUGCAUAGACCUUUUCUGAGAUAGCAAACGCAGUGCAUUGUGGUCUAGCUUCGGUACAAAAAUCUUUUAUUCAUCAUGCCUUAUAUGGUGUUGUUUGUACUGAAACACUAGACAUUAUGCAUCAUGCAUCAUGUUUAUCGAACUCAGAAAAGUGUCAUUUUACUAUCACUAAAAUGUUUUGCGAAUUUUCUUUCUUGUUCAAAUUUGUAUUUCCUCAUGAGAAUAGAUGCUAAUUAACUGAACGAAAAAAGUGUGUAAGGGAGUCUGGUACUGGUAGUAAAUAGACCUAAUCGGCUAACGUGUUGCUAUGUACGUUACCACCCAAUUCAAACCUUCUGGGAAUAGAACCGUUUGUCUCUACGAAUUCAACUCUGAAACCAAAAUAUAACGAACAAUGAAACUUAUUCCCAGAAGGUUUGAAUCGGGUGGUAACGUACAUAGCAACACGUUAGCCGAUUAGGUCUAAGACGCUAUAAUGCAAGUGACGCAUUAGUGUGGGAAGAGACACUUGGAACUUAGAUGCAAUGUUUUCUUAAUUCAGACCAUGUGUCAUUUUCUUGAGGAUACGAUUCUUUGUUUGAGUUGUAUUCAUAUUCAUGAGUCUACUCAUGCACAUCUGUUGAAGAAAGAAACUACUCUAGGGAAUGACAUGGUCUGUAAUGAAAAACGAAUUAAAAUUUAAAAAAUGAAAAAUUUGAAAUGAAAGAAUAAUAAAAAAUAAAAAAAAUUCAAUGAAAUAACGCCAUAUUUUGUGAAAUAACUAGUGGCAACCCUUGGCCACCAUAGAAGAGCGAGACAACAAAUAGACAGUCAGCUAGGCAGAGAUAAAGUGACAAAGAGAAGCAUUAAGACUUGCCAUCCAUCAUAAUGAUUUAUUUUAUUGUAACUUUAUCAAUAAGUUAACAAAUAAAUAAGGCUUUCUCAAUUGAUUUGAGUCUUUGACCUAUGAAUAAAGAUUGACAGAAUUUUUUUUUUUGAAUCUUAAACAAAAUCUAUUUACAUUGGUUUCCACCCCCUAAAACAAUGUCUAUACUACAAUUGUAGGUAUAGUAAUAAUACUUAAUAGAUAAGUAAUCGUUAAAGAACUCUUGAGUUCCUAGUCACUCAAUGGACAUUUAUAGAACAAUGCUCUGUCAGCUAUUCUCUUUAAUUUACACACAACAGUAUUCUUAUGACACUAAAAACAGCUGUGCGGAGACUAUAUUCUCACUUUGGGACCUUCACGGCGGAUGUCACGACACUACCGGAAGUACAAUGUUUACCUAAUUAGCAUAUGACCUUGCACACGUCCAAAGGAACAAAGGUAGGUUUUACAGUCUCUCUAAGCUUGAAAUUAUUUUCUAGUUUAUGCACUUAAAAAUGCCUCUGUAUAACGACUGCUGGAUGUUACGUGUUCUUUGAUGUAUAAACUCAAUAUCUGAGUAAAUAUUUAGGCUUUUUGUUACUUUAAAACUAUAUUUUGGAAGGUUUUGAAAUUGGAGGACGACUACAGGCGCCGAACAAGACGAUUUGCAACGCUACUAAAAGAACACGGUUCGUUACAUCCUCCACUAGAGACCCUAGUGUUCUGCCUUACUAAGACAAACAAGUCAAUAUCAGGGAGCACUGUGAAAAUCCUAUCCUGCAACGAUAGAGUGCGCAAGGACACCCAGUACAGUAUGUAAUACUCCGACCAACAUAGCCAUGUGAAAAAGAUCCAUAUUCCAGGAAUGAUGCGAAAAGUUCCAGGCACCCGAAGAGUUGAUAUGAGAGAGACCUGCUUGGUAAAGACGGAUAUUAAGUAUAUUGAGUCGCACCUUGAAUCAAGUCAUCUGCCUCUUCGUCCUUGUCGUAUUUUCCAACUUCGUGAGAAAGUGCAACACCAGUAUCUACAUGAAGGACAGACUUUAAGGUUUCCUAUUUGUUGUUGAUCCAUGGCUUUAUCGUAGAUCUGCACGCACGCGAUCUUACCAGAAUACCUUCUAUCAUCGCCAUCUCGUGCGCCGAUUCUUAUUGGAUACUGAGUAGCAAGUCUGAUUUGUCCAAUGUUCCUACUCUUGACCAUCUUUCCGUUAUGCCAGAGUUUNGCAACACCGGUAGAGUUAUCGUAUGUGGCACCAACUUGGUUCCAUGUGUUUAGCUACAAAAAUUGGAAUGGAUGUCAGAUUAUUGAUCAUUAAUGAUAAAAAUGUUCAUUCUUCUCACUCACCUGGAUCAUUGUAUUGGUCUUCAGAGGAGUACCUCAAAGGAGGCAGCUCAUUGUGGUUCAAUGGCGGCAAAACGUUGGCACUCUCAGCACUCGGCGAGGACUGGUAGCUAUUCUUCAGCUGGUCAGCAGUUAUUUUGAACCUUGAUCCUUCAGUGUUGGCUGGCUUGGAGAAAAAGAAGUUCAUCUCUGGGCUGUUUUGCGCAUGCUCGAGAGGAGGCAGCAUAGGAGGUCGAUAGCUCUUAAUGCUUUCAUCUGAUUGGAUAAAAAUAGACAUAAUGGUUAUGAAUGUUGCGUGAUGUGACGAUCAGCUGAUGUUUGCUACACGUAAAGCGCUAUAGUCUAUGGUAUUCAUUGGUUCAUCAGCAACAGGUUAGUCAGACAUUGAUAUCAUAAGUAGCUGAAGUAUAUUUACAAAAACACAGAUGCACAUGAACCAGUCGAGACCAAAGAAGACGAUAAUGAGUACGCAAAGGCGCUUGGGAAAGCCCUGGAUCAACCUUGAUGAUGAUAAACCUAAUUUUGGAUCUUUAUUUCAUCUGUUGUAUUUAACCGCAGUAAAAUAUUCUUAUUACAAAAAAAAAUGGCUUAAAAUAUAUCAAGAUUGUACUUUUAAACAAAAUCUAUAGAAAAUCAAUAGUAAAAUUUGUAGAAUUUACAAAGAAAGCUGUUUCACGAACCGAAAAUAUUGUCUAUCCAUGAGUAGAUGAAGAUGUUAUCAUAGAAAAGGCUAGUAUCCCUUGGUCUCAUUCUAUCAAACUUUAUAUUCGCAAUAUGAACGAAGAAGAAAAUUAAUAUCAGCGAUUUUUAAAAAAAUAAGGAAAAUGAGAGGUCAAGUCUCGAUCUGCAAGAGAUACCAAAAAAGUUUUAUCAAGAAGGCUUAAGAAUAUGGACUAAGCAAAGCCACAAUACGAAACGAAUAAAAAAAAGGGGUAGAAAAACUUUAAAUUUUCAACCUUUUG
rnacentral:lncRNA from 1 species